AUUGGAGAGUUUGAUCCUGGCUCAGGACGAACGCUGGCGGCAUGCCUAAUACAUGCAAGUCGAGCGGACUUGAUGAGAAGCUUGCUUCUCUGAUGGUUAGCGGCGGACGGGUGAGUAACACGUAGGCAACCUGCCCUCAAGCUUGGGACAACUACCGGAAACGGUAGCUAAUACCGAAUAGUUGUUUUCUUCUCCUGAAGAGAACUGGAAAGACG
rnacentral:rRNA from 1 species